CCGGCUACGCGAGCAUUGUGGGAGCCGUGGCGGUUGAGUCGGGGCCGCCAGGGGGCGCCCAGGAGCCGCCGCCGAGCCCCCAGCCCUGGAAACCCAACCUAGGCUCGCGGGACCCCAGCAUCUCUGGGCUGCCCUGGCUCCACUCGAUAACCCAGUCACCGGGCCACCGAGUGUGGACCCCGCCUCACUUGAACGACCAAGUCUACACCGACCUUAUAUCCGCCGCACACGCGGAACUUCCCAUCCCUAUUAUCUAAAUCCGCAUCCCCAUCUCACCGGACCCGACCCCCCAGCUCUGACACAGAAUCCCCCAUUCCCACAGCACGUGAGUCCUCCAGAUUUUACAAAGAAGUGCACAGGUGGGCCUAGCAGAAGAUUCCAAAGUCUGACCAAGCAGUUACAGCAAGCAAAGAAUCUUUGUCACCAUCAAUCAUGAAUCUCUCCCAUGAUCAUGGCCACAUCGUCAUACAACGGGACAACCAUGGAUUGGACUCUAAAUGUUCUCAUUGGUUUUACUAAAAUACCUAUUUUAGCCUCAGCUAAAUAAAUAACAAAUAUCAUAA